CUGGGAGGACCAUCUCCUAAGGCUAAAUACUCUCUAGUGACCGAUAGUGAACCAGUACCGUGAGGGAAAGGUGAAAAGCACCCCGGAAGGGGAGUGAAAUAGAACCUGAAACCGUGUGCUUACAAGUAGUCAGAGCCCGUUAAUGGGUGAUGGCGUGCCUUUUGUAGAAUGAACCGGCGAGUUACGAUUUGAUGCAAGGUUAAGCAGUAAAUGUGGAGCCGUAGCGAAAGCGAGUCUGAAUAGGGCGUUUAGUAUUUGGUCGUAGACCCGAAACCAGGUGAUCUACCCUUGGUCAGGUUGAAGUUCAGGUAACACUGAAUGGAGGACCGAACCGACUUACGUUGAAAAGUGAGCGGAUGAACUGAGGGUAGCGGAGAAAUUCCAAUCGAACCUGGAGAUAGCUGGUUCUCUCCGAAAUAGCUUUAGGGCUAGCCUCAAGUGAUGAUUAUUGGAGGUAGAGCACUGUUUGGACGAGGGGCCCCUCUCGGGUUACCGAAUUCAGACAAACUCCGAAUGCCAAUUAAUUUAACUUGGGAGUCAGAACAUGGGUGAUAAGGUCCGUGUUCGAAAGGGAAACAGCCCAGACCACCAGCUAAGGUCCCAAAAUAUAUGUUAAGUGGAAAAGGAUGUGGCGUUGCCCAGACAACUAGGAUGUUGGCUUAGAAGCAGCCAUCAUUUAAAGAGUGCGUAAUAGCUCACUAGUCGAGUGACACUGCGCCGAAAAUGUACCGGGGCUAAACAUAUUACCGAAGCUGUGGAUUGUCCUUUGGACAAUGGUAGGAGAGCGUUCUAAGGGCGUUGAAGCAUGAUCGUAAGGACAUGUGGAGCGCUUAGAAGUGAGAAUGCCGGUGUGAGUAGCGAAAGACGGGUGAGAAUCCCGUCCACCGAUUGACUAAGGUUUCCAGAGGAAGGCUCGUCCGCUCUGGGUUAGUCGGGUCCU
rnacentral:rRNA from 1 species